ACCUAACUGGCGAGUCCCAAAUAGAACGAAACAUGCGUCCUGGAU
rnacentral:hammerhead_ribozyme from 1 species